rnacentral:rRNA from 1 species
AUGUCGAUGCCGAAGGCUCUGUUUAAGCCCAACCGCAGUCGCGAUGCUCGCUACUCGAUUCGUCGUCGCGCCGGCGGAGGUAGCUUUCUCAUGGACAGGGCGAGGGGCAGUAGCACGAGCGGGGUGAGUCGAUUCCUGCGCCGGCGACGGCAGCUGCCGGCCCUCCGUGACGACCGGAUGAGCGACCUCUCCGACGAUCUGCUCCUCCUCGUCCUCCGCCGCCUCGACACCCGCACGGCGCUCGGCGCCGGGUUGAUCUCCAGACGCUGGGCGCACCUGCCCCGCCAGCUCCCCGCCUUGGACUUCAGGGUUAGCGACAUACUCCCGCCACGCUACCACCGAUGGGUCCUCCUCCACCGCGACAUCUACAGCAGACGCCAGCCCAUGAGCCUGGAGCUCGUGCCUAACAUCAAGAGGUACGAGCGCCGUGCCAUGCGCGCCCUGAACAGCUCCGUCCAGGGCUUCUUGGAAGGAGCUCGACCUCGCUGCGGCGUCAAGAGACUGAACCUCGAGUUCUUCGCCACCGGUAACGGCUACGGCUGCUGCAUCAAUCGGCUCAUCGCGGAGGCCAUUGAUGCUUGGGGCGUCGACGACCUCGAGGCCAUCGCCAAGCCACUGUACAAGCAACAAGACCUCGUCCACGCCUUUCCGAGCCAUGGCCUGUGCAAGGAGCCCCGUGCGUCACGCCUGCAAAGCCUCAAGCUUGGAGGCUGCGUGCUCCCGCCUCUGCACGAGUACAGUUCACUUACCAUGCUCGUCCUGCGAGACAUACCGGAAUCCACGCCCCCGGCCGCCUACGAGGGUGUCUUCACCUCGUGCCCAAAGCUUUACACCCUGCACCUCAUCUCCUGUGGCUGCAGCAGCGACUCAGGCAUACGCUUGCCGGUGGUGGUGAACGCCCCCAGUUCAGAGAUCAGGGAACUUGUUGUGGACAGCUGCACAUUUCGGUGGAUACGGCUAAGGGCUCUCCCCUGUCUCGAGAGCCUAGCCUCCCUGGGAACCAGCAGAGUGUUCUUCGAGUAUACAUCAUUCCCCUCCAUGAGGCAAUGCAACUUCGCACUGCGCAUAGGUGUCACAAUGGAAGGCGCGCGUCAAUACUUUGCGCAUCAGCUGAAGCUGGAGCUUGACACGUUUCUUCGAUGCACACCAAAUAUAAUGAAUCUCAUUGUCCGGUUCACUGGUCCUGACAGAUGGAUCGUGCCGUCUAGCCCUCCCUUGUCAUAUUUGCCUAACCUGAGGCGGCUGCUGGUCGCGGAUGUUCCAUCUUCCUGGGAUGCCACAUGGCCUUGUCUUUUUCUUGAGAUGACACCUUCCCUGGAGAGCCUUCACAUCAACAUUGCCUCCUGCAAGGAGAAGCCCGGUGAAGAAAUUUCCUGGCAGCCCAGCAAGCUUGGGCUGCAUAACUUGAGGGAGUUUGUGGUUGCUGGUUUCCAGGGAACUAAAAGGCAGAUUUGCCUAGUCAAUCUCGUCGUGGGAGCAUGCACAGCGUUGCGCCAUGUUGCCAUGUUCAAGAACGGUCAUGCAAGGGGCAAGGGACUCUGGGACUGGGAGAUGGUUACCCAGCAACAAUCAUGGACGGACGAGGAGAAGGACUACACGCUGAAGCAAAUCAUGGAUGGGGUUUCUUCCUCUGCUGUUCAACUAGUUUUUGGCUGA